ACCAUGGUAGAAAUAUCAGGUAGCAACAUAGGCGAAAAUUACAACAAAGCAACUUUUUUGGAAACUUGAUAUGUCAAAAUUGAAAGCAAAGCGAAUUUACCUGACAUAUAAAAUUUGAAGCAAAUUGGUUUGCACCAAUUAGAACAAUUUUGAAAUAUUGAAAAAUAGUGUUUAUUUUUAAAUUUGUAUUGAAAUUUCAAGCAAGAAAAUGUUGUGUUGUUGUGAAUUGUACUGUUUUGUACGUUUCCCGGUUUAAGAGAACUCGAUAAAAGCAAACAAUAGCAUAUAAAAAUGCGAUAAAUGCCCGCGGAAUGGAAAUCUCAAUGGAAACAAAUUCAAUAAGAAUUCAGAAAACUCAAUAUAUGAGGAAGGAACCAUCAACAAUAUCAACAUUAAACGAAACAGAUGUUAAUUUCUCGUUUUAUGAGCUUCAUGGAUUUUCAAAAUUUUGAGCCUUUGUGGGGGAGGCACCAGAAGGAAUGGACCGAUAUACCCAUCUUCACAGCUUAUCUUGAGUUAGUAGAAAUAAUGGGAUGUGUAAAAUAUAAAAAGAAUAUGAUGCCUGUUUCGGAUUAAAUAAACGUUUUGGUUAUUCAAAAAAUA